AACGAACGCUAGCGGCAUGCCUAACACAUGCAAGUCGAACGAGAUCUUCGGGUCUAGUGGCGCACGGGUGCGUAACGCGCGGGAAUCUGCCCUUUGGUUCGGAAUAACAGUUGGAAACGACUGCUAAUACCGGAUGAUGACGAAAGUCCAAAGAUUUAUCGCCAGAGGAUGAGCCCGCGUAGGAUUAGCUAGUUGGUGUGGUAAAGGCGCACCAAGGCGACGAUCCUUAGCUGGUCUGAGAGGGUGAUCAGCCACACUGGGACUGAGACACGGCCCAGACUCCUACGGGAGGCAGCAGUGGGGAAUAUUGGACAAUGGGCGAAAGCCUGAUCCAGCAAUGCCGCGUGAGUGAUGAAGGCCUUAGGGUUGUAAAGCUCUUUUACCCGGGAUGAUAAUGACAGUACCGGGAGAAUAAGCUCCGGCUAACUCCGUGCCAGCCGCCGCCGUAA
rnacentral:rRNA from 1 species